AUAACAUCCGGAAACGGGUGCUAAUACCGCAUAGUUUCUUGAUCGCAUGAUUGAGAAAGGAAAGACGGCCUUUGUGCUGGUCGCUUAUGGAUGGACCCGCGGCGUAUUAGUUAGUUGGUGAGGUAAUGGCUCACCAAGACGAUGAUACGUAGCCGACCUGAGACGGGUGAUCGGCCACAUUGGGACUGAGACACGGCCCAAACUCCUACGGGAGGCAGCAGUAGGGAAUCUUCCGCAAUGGACGAAAGUCUGACGGAGCAACGCCGCGUGAGUGAAAGAAGGUUUUCGGAUCGUAAAACUCUGUUGUCAGAGAAGAACAAGUUGGAGAGUAACUGCUCCAGCCUUGACGGUAUCUGACCAGAAAGCCACGGCUAACUACGUGCCAGCCGCCGC
rnacentral:rRNA from 1 species